UACCCUGUAGUACCGAGCUGUGUU
rnacentral:miRNA from 1 species